rnacentral:lncRNA from 1 species
AAGGGUACAGAGAAUGAGCAGCUUGGAGGAGUUUGAAUGACUCAAGGCAAAGGAAGAAGGGAAAGGAAAUCAUCUUCUGAAGAUCUCUAAAAGGAAUGAGGAAUCUUGUCUGGGAUUAGACACUGAAGGAUUUUGAGCAAGGAACCCAGGUCAGAGGUUUCUGCAGUGAAUUCGUGAUCCGUGGCUCAUGGGAAGGAAGGGAGAGCAGAGCCGCUAUCUUCCAAGUCACACAGCGAGACCCAGGAGGCAGGAGCCAAUAAAAUCUUAAAGACACCCAAGGACCAGGCCCACACAUUCCAAAUGCUUCUUAGGCCCCUGAUGGCCUUGACUUGUGACCUGCUGCCAGCACCACAGAGCAGCUGCCCUGGGAGCAACACUCACAAAGAAGCACAGUGUUGGAGAGAAAACUGCAAAUGACAAGAAAAAUAUGUAUUGAUUAUGUAUUGAUUAAUACAUGAAAUUAACGUCAGUUUUUUUAAGAAACCUUUAUUUCAAUGGCAUUACUGUACCUUCAUUUCCUUUUCUGUUGUAUUGCGUGUCCUCAACUUAAAAUGGAUGUAUGGACUAAAAUGCAAGGUACCCAGCAGAAAUACCAAAUUCCCACCUCACUCACACAAGGUAUGAACUAAUACAGUGGAUUUAGUGUGUAGCAUGUAAAAUCAAGCAAGAAGAAAUGCCGAAACCGG